UAGCAACCCUGUUACUCACUGGUAGUUGAUUCCUUUUGGGGGUUUGCUCCUGUGUUGAUGCUCUAUUUGCGCACGUAGGCUGGGAUUUAGCUGCGCUUAGCUCUGGUGCCCCGUUGCUGCUCUUUCAGUGAUGUUCCUUGGUACUUGGCGACGUUUUGGGUGUUGCGUUCGGUCGUUGCAUGGUGGGCGGUACCCUGGACUACGUGUGGUUGUUUGUGCUGGUUUGGUUGGGGGCGGUGCCUUGGUUGUCGAACCUGCAAAAUCGCAUCCAAAGAUCAUGAAUAUAGCAUGGCGCAACGGAGCGCGCCAUUCUGUCUAGCUCAUUUUCUUUAUCAUAUGGUUACUGUUUUCAGUGUUUGCUGUUGUAACUUGCUACCUUACUCUGUUCUAACUCUGAUUUUGGAUCUAUGCAUGCUACAUCCCCUGUCUUCUUGAGCAAUGAUAAUACAUCGAUGCAACGAGGAGACAGAUUGCCGGCUCUCACUUGUGCCCGCCACCAUCGAUGUUUGUUCUGGAAGGGAUGAUGCACCAAGCUGGAUGGGGAGCAGUGGGUUAGCUUGGACCAACGACAACAUUCAUAUGGAAGUUUAUCUCACUGCACUGGACUAGAGUCAAGGACUGUUAACAUGCUUCUUGACGUCCCCCGUUCCGAAGAAGCAAAGCCAAACAAAUUCCUGCCUCCCCUUGGGCAUCUAAGACACGCAUGUGUUCUUGUCGAGAGAGGAUUGAGUAUGUAGAUAUUUAUAGAUGUAGAAUAGUAAGAAAGAGUCGCAAAAA